rnacentral:lncRNA from 1 species
GGUGAUGUUGUGGCUCUAAAAAGAGAGAGAGAGAUAUGGGUUCAUGUGUUUCAGUGCAUAAGAGCUCUCAAGAGCCAGCCUCAGCCAUGAAAGUUGGACUUUCUUUUGGGUCUAAAACAGAUAAUAACCUCAUCAUUCCACCAUCACCUGUUAAGGAGAAACCAGUUGCCAAUGGUGACUUUGCUUUCAUAUCUCAAUCGCCCUAUACUUUCAAAGACUUUGGUAAUUUUCCUUCUUUUUCGUUUUACCUUUUUGUCUGUGUGUGUGUUUAGUGAAAUAAAUAGGUUGGAAUUACUUUGCUUGGUUACGGGGUAAAGACAAUCUAUUUGGCUUUUGUCUCACUUUUUUUUCUUUUAAUCUUCAAUGGAGUGUGAAAAAAUCUAUUCUAUUUAACUUGUUUUUUCUCUGUUUCAGGAUGAUGUUUUAUUUUUAUGAUGUUAGAUCUGAAAUGGGUAUUUGGUUUGUCAGAGUUUUCAUUUUUCUUACUAUCAACAUGUUGAUCUUUAUAUCAAGUAGUCUUGUGUUCUUUAUUUAAAGAAAAAAAAUAUGAAUAUAUUGUUGGAUUAAUGAGUGAUGAUGCUUGUAGUUAUCUAUUCUUAUAAGGUUAUUUUUCAAUGUCUGCCAUGAAUGAUAUGCCUAAUGAUAUUUGUGUAGGCCCUCCUGAUUCAUGAUUAUGAGAUAAACAUGGUGAUAUUUUCAUUGUCUUUUUCUUGGUCGUCCAUGUUAUAGUUUCUUAGCAUAAUUCUGGCUUGUUUGGGGACAUUUCAAAACAUUUUCACUAUUAUAUGAGUGCAAGCUCUUCUAUUUUAGCUUAAAUUUUGGACUUUCCUUCUCCUUCUUAGAUGAUUUUAGACCCUUUCUUUGACCUCCCCCUGCCCUCCAUGGUAGUAUAUUUAGUUUGCUUGUUAAUUAAUCUAUCAUGGAUUAGAGCUCAGUUUUCUAACUUUUUCUGAACAUAACACUGUUAAACAUGAUGAAUAUUGUACAAAAAGGUAGCUAUCCUUUGGUUUUUUUUUCCACUUGUCUUGCAAGAAAAGUCAUUGGCCGUUUUGGAAUGGCUAGGCCCAUUGGAAACUUGUUAGGUUACCCGAAAACGACAUCGCUAAUCGCGAAUUCUAGUAUGACAUAAAAUAAAGCUAAUUUUUCACAUAUAUGGCAGUAUUCAAUUCGAAGUUGAGAACCUAACUUUAGCCUUAUAUAUCCUUGUUUAAUGACUUACUGUCCAAUGUGGAAUAGAUAGACAAACCAGCAAGUAGCAAUCUUUUGAUGUAUCUAUCUAUUUUUGUAAGUAUAUAGGGGGAACCUUUUUUGUGGUAAAUUUAUUAGCCCUUGAUGGAUGGACCACUCUUAAAUAGUAGGUAGCUGCAAAAGAGUUUUAAGGGAGUUGUCUUUUAACUGUCAAUAAUUUGACAUAAAUGGAGAUUAAAACCCCAAGAAAGACAACUUGUGGAUUAUGUUGUGGUCCUUACUACAUGUACAAUUUAUGUGUCAAUACAGUACAACACUCGGAGAUAAAUCAUGGGACUGUUGUUGCUGAUGUAUAUGUCCAUCGAAUGUCAAAGCGAUAUAGCGUUUUUCCAAGGAUGUUCUGUUGCUUGCUACAUCAUAUACAUGUUACAGUUUCUGAAAAUUGUACAGUUGUAAUGUUGAACAUCAUGUUGAUAUUAUUUUCUAUAUUACUUUCAUGAUAAACAUUUCAAUGUAUUUCAGCAUAUUCAUCAAUUUGCUCCCUUUUUGCUAUCUAAAUACCUUAAGCUGAAACAAUUUUUUAUUCUGCAGGUAGUAAAGAAGAAACCUUUUUCGAUUCCCGAGCAUAUCUCGAUUCUGAUUGUGAGGAUGAUUUCUUCAGUGUCAAUGGUGGUAAGAAUAGUAUAACUGUUCGAAUUAACUCGUAUAAUGAGUACUGAUUGCUGUAAUAUGACUGAUACUUCGCUUUCGAGUUGAGUACACGUUCCUUUUUCGAGUCUAUCAUAGUUUUGUCAUCCAAAAGUUGUAAUCUAUGUGCAGAUUUUACUCCGUCUCGUGGCAAUACCCCUGUUCAUCAUAGCUUCUCCGUCGGGACAACACCUCGAGUUAGCAAGGUCACCGUGGAAGGAUCACCUAUGUCUGUUCUGGAAACAUCCCCGAUGGGAAAAAAGAAGAAGCUCCUCGAACUGUUCCGAGAGAGCGUUAGAGAAGACCGAAACCUUACUUCAAAAUCUGCAAAUGUUACCCCUUAUCAUGUCUCUGGAGCUACCUCACUUUGCAGU